rnacentral:lncRNA from 1 species
UAAACCCAGCAUAUAUGGGGUUAAAACCAAAACACUCAUUCCCUGCCUACUCUCUGGCUUCCUGGCUCCAGAAUCCACUAUCCUCCAUGGAGACAGACACCGUCAAGGACAGGCACCUGGACUAUCUCCUCCCGCAAAGAGAUACGGGCUGGUGGGAAAGCUGCUGACCAGCAAGGUCAUGAGCUCCCUCCUCUCUGCAAGUGUCUCAAGGCCAAAGACAGGCUGGUGCGAAAGCUCUGACCAGCAGGGCCAUAUGCUCCCCCUCCCCUACCUAAAACCCCAAAUAAAAACCCUUCCUUUUAGCUUUUCGGGGAGUUUGGGAUUUGAGCGUUAGCUGCCCUCUCUCCUUGCUCAGCGCUGUGCAAACGAUAAAAGUCCUACUUUCUUCCACCACACCUGGUGUCAGAGAUUGGUUUGCUGCGCAACGGGACCGGCCGGAAAUAACGGGUACCUUGGCAGCCCUCUGGGCUCCGUUUGUUUUGAAGUCGCUGCGACGCCCCGGCCAAAUUUUGGACACAAUUGGAAACACUGGUUAUAUUACCAAGGCUUUGACUGGAACAUCAUAUUUGAAAAAACAUACAGGCUUGGAUAUAACAAGACAGCUUUUUGAGGAAUGAAGGUUGACAUUCUGGAAUAAAGCCACUUGGAAAUAUUGGCCUGAAAAACUUCUUAAUAAAUACCUGGUUACUUACUUACAUGAUACGGGCCCACCUUCAGGAGCCCACCAGCAUCACUGCCUUAUUAAAAGACUGGUUCAAUGAGAUGAAACAACCUAUGCCCCAUUUCGGCAGGAAGUAGCUAGAUUGGUCUCCGCCCCAAAUCCCUCAAGAUUGAGGGAUGGACAUAAAAUGGGGGGGAUUUGAUAUCGACCCUGAUAUCAGUGUCCCCACACUAAACCCAGCAUAUAUGGGGUUAAAACCAAAACACUCAUUCCCUG